AUUGAACGCUGGCGGAAUGCUUUACACAUGCAAGUCGAGCGGCAGCACGGGGGCAACCCUGGUGGCGAGCGGCGAACGGGUGCGUAAUACAUCGGAACAUGCCCAGUCGUGGGGGAUAACACUCCGAAAGAAGUUCUAAUACCGCAUACGUCCUGCGGGAGAAAGCGGGGGAUCUUCGGACCUCGCGCGAUUGGAGUGGCCGAUGUCAGAUUAGCUAUUUGGUGGGGAAAAGGCCUACAAAGGCAACGAUCUGUAGCUGGUCUGAGAGGAUAAUCAGCCACACUGGUACGGAGACACGGCCCAGACUCCUACGGGAGGCAGCAGUAGGGAAUUUUGGACAAUGGGGGCAACCCUGAUCCAGCCAUUCCGCGUGAGUGAAGAAGGCCUUCGGGUUGUAAAGCUCUUUCGGCAGGAACGAAACGGCGAGCUCUAACAUAGCUUGCUAAUGACGGUACCUGAAGAAGAAGCACCGGCUAACUACGUGCCAGCAGCCGCCGUAAUAC
rnacentral:rRNA from 1 species